rnacentral:rRNA from 1 species
UCCGAGUUCCCUGGAACGGGACGCCAUAGAGGGUGAGAGCCCCGUACGGUUGGACACCAAGCCUGUGUAAAGCUCCUUCGACGAGUCGAGUAGUUUGGGAAUGCUGCUCAAAAUGGGAGGUAUAUUUCUUCUAAAGCUAAAUACCGGCCAGAGACCGAUAGCGCACAAGUAGAGUGAUCGAAAGAUGAAAAGCACUUUGAAAAGAGGGUUAAACAGCACGUGAAAUUGUUAAAAGGGAAGCGCUUGUGACCAGACUUGCGCCCGGCGGAUCACGGCUCUCGCGGCCGGGGCACUCCGCCGGCUCAGGCCAGCAUCAGCUCGCUGUCGGGGACAAAAGCUUCGGGAACGUGGCUCCUCCGGGGAGUGUUAUAGCCCGUUGCACAAUACCUUCGGUGGGCUGAGGUACGCCGUCCGCAAGGAUGCUGGCGUAAUGGUCAUCAGCGACCCGUCUUGAAACACGGACCAAGGAGUCAACCUUAUAUGCGAGUGUUCGGGUGUCAAACCCCUACGCGUAAUGAAAGU